rnacentral:lncRNA from 1 species
UUAAAACUAUAAAUAAAAUAUUUUAUUUUAAAUCAAUAUUAUGUUACUUUUUAUUUCUUAUUAUUUCCUCAAGUUAAUUAUUCUGAAACAGGUUAAUUGGAUUCUCAAAGAAAAGAAGAGAGAAGGCAUAAGAGAACAGAAAAGUUUUUCUAUCUGUAUUCUACAACUGCAAGUAUGAAGAUGAGUGAAGUUCUAGAACAUGAAAUUAAGAUCCCUCAUCUCUCCAAGCAGAAUAUCCUAUAAGGGAAUCUCUGUAUCUGAACCCCAAAUGGUGCCAUCACAGGUUCAGAAAAGUGUAUUUUCAUGCUUUAGUAAUUCUGAAAAUUAUCAAGAUUUAAAUUAA